rnacentral:lncRNA from 1 species
AAUUAGAGGAUAGAGAGCUCGUCCACAUUCAGAGCUGUUCGUAAGUACUAUAUCUUCACCGAAUAUAUUUAAAAUUUAGUCAUUUUAGAGACUAACAUUUAUUAUUCAAAAUCAAUUUACAGUACAUUUACAGAGCCUGGGGUGCCUCAUGUGGUUACUAGGAUCAUCCGACAAUCGAUGCCGGGGCCGAUGGAUGAGUUCUUUAGUUAGCCAUCAAGGGCUCGUGAUGUAGCCUGAGAGAUGUUCC